rnacentral:rRNA from 1 species
UACACUCCUACGGGAGGCAGCAGUGGGGAAUAUUGGACAAUGGGCGCAAGCCUGAUCCAGCCAUGCCGCGUGAGUGAUGAAGGCCCUAGGGUUGUAAAGCUCUUUCACCGGUGAAGAUAAUGACGGUAACCGGAGAAGAAGCCCCGGCUAACUUCGUGCCAGCAGCCGCGGUAAUACGAAGGGGGCUAGCGUUGUUCGGAUUUACUGGGCGUAAAGCGCACGUAGGCGGACUAUUAAGUCAGGGGUGAAAUCCCGGGGCUCAACCCCGGAACUGCCUUUGAUACUGGUAGUCUUGAGUUCGAGAGAGGUGAGUGGAAUUCCGAGUGUAGAGGUGAAAUUCGUAGAUAUUCGGAGGAACACCAGUGGCGAAGGCGGCUCACUGGCUCGAUACUGACGCUGAGGUGCGAAAGCGUGGGGAGCAAACAGGAUUAGAAACCCUAGUAGUCCC